AUGAACCCAACCUCCACGCCAGGCCCGGACGGCCUCCCGGUGAAGUUCUUCCAAGCCUUUUGGGAUGUAAUCAAACCCGAGGUGAUGGCCAUCUUCGAAGAAUUCUAUCGGGGCACUUGCGACCUUCGCCGCCUAAACUAUGGGGUCAUUACUCUCAUCCCCAAGGUUGCUGGCGCGACAGAGAUUCGCCUAUUCCGCCCGAUUACCGUGAUCAAUGUGAUCUUCCGCAUCUUGGCUAAGGGGUACGCCAAUAGGGUGACUCCUUUAGCCAACCGCAUCACCCACCCGGACCAGUCGGCCUUCAUUCAGGGUCGGUACAUCCUCGAUGGAGUCCUCGUCUUUCACGAGGUCCGCACCAAGCACCUAAAGGCCGUCUUCCUGAAGAUCGACUUCCAUAAAGCAUAUGACACCGUCAGUUGGCCUUUCCUUCGGGAAGUAUUGGUUAGGAAAGGCUUCGACGACCGCUGGGUCACGAGGGUC
rnacentral:rRNA from 1 species